UAUUUUUUCUUUAAUGAGAAAAAAAAUCUGUGUUUGUGAAUUUUUGUUACCACAUUUUAAACUUUUCAAUCUACUUGAAUCUGGAUCAUAUAUCUUUCUCUUUUGCCAAUGCCCUUCUCCUAGAAAAAGAAAAGGCUAUAAGUGUUUUAUUAGAAUAUAGUUCAUAAUUCUCCUAAACAAAUGUCAACAAUACAUGUUACUUGAGUUGUAACCAUUGCAUUAUAAUUAGUUACGAAAGUAUUGUCAAUAAAAUAGGUGAACGGGAAUAUUGAUCUUUUUCUAGUUAAGUUUGAAUGUGUAUUGUUUCUCUUCAUGUUUAUAUUAUUCAAUUUAGAUUUGAUAUUUAGAAGAUCCUUAACUCAGUCAAUGUUGUUAAAUAUAGUCUUGCUCUAUACAUAUUAUGAAAAUUUAUUAAUUCUUCCGUUAGAAUCUUAGAUGUAUGCUUCUAUGUAGGGCCUAUAACGUAGUAGAACCACUAUACCAUAUAUAUGACUCUUAUAUCGUUUUUUGAUGCAAUUAACCCUAACUAAGAUUAAAGUCGAGAUCUCUCAAUCUCGGAGACAACUGCAGUAUCAAUGAGUUAAAUAUCAUUUUUAGUCCAUGCUCUAAACCAGAAUGAAGUCUCAUGUUGAUCAAGUGGAGAGAAUACAAAUGCUUUGGAAGAUGCAUUUGAUAUAUUUUGAUUAGAACAAAUGUUAAGAAUCAAAUAAUCAUACAAUCUAAAAAAAUAAGCACGAAAAGAAAUCAAUACACAGAUUUAGCAUGGUUCACUAAUUUGACUAUGUCCAUGACGACUAGGGUUUUCUUAUUAUCGUUUGAGUUUUCGAACAGAAUACACUAAGAAAAUUUUACACAUUUAUAUGCUUAGAGAAAAUACAAAAAGAUAAAAUAGCCAUCAAAAAAAUUCGUGACCGUAGGAUAUAUUGUAUAGUCCAUAAUGUAUCAUUAGACUCCAUAUCUUAACACAAGCUGCUUGGCAUUAUGAACACAUGUUUCAAAAGCUGGAGACACUUAUUACUUCUUUCAUUCACGACAAAGCAGUGGCCAUUGAUGAUGCAUUCUCUACUUUGGCAACCAUAAAUGCCUUCUCUCCUACCACAAUUAUUUCUCCUUCACCCAUGUCAUUGAAAGCAGACGAUUUGGCUUAGAAGGUGAACAUGCCUAUUUGUGAUGGGGAGGACCUAGUGGAGAGGAUUCCUUGAGUAGAAUAAUAUUUUGAAAUUCAUCACACUGUUGAUAAUCUUCGAGUCUCUCUCCCAAUGGUCGCCAUGGAAGGCACUCUGCUACAUUGGCUCUAUCAAAACCAACCUACACUCACUUGGCCUCAGUUAAAAGGUGAAUUGUUUUAAUAUUAUAAUUCAAAUAUUGUUGAUAAUCCAGUUGAAUAUUUGGCUAUUGUACCUCAAACGUAUUAUGUUGAUGAAUUUAUGGUGCGCACCACCCAAGUACCCCUACUCUCUGAUGCUCUUUCCCUAGGUUAUUUUCUAAAUGGUUUAUCUAAAGAUAUUUGAGUUUGUUGACUUUCACAUGAAACCGAGGAUCUCUAUUGCACCAUGCAAAUUGCUUGAAAGGUUGAGAGGGACAUAUAAUUUUAGUUGGGCUCACAACCUUCCUUUUAGGCUCCUCUUACACUAAGUGUGAUCCUCGAUUCAGGUCUAAGCCUUUCACCACGUUUCGGUCACUUAGUCUUUUAUCCACCAAAGAGACCAAACUUAGCCCAAAACACACAGGCCUAAAUUUAAAAGAUCCUUAUCUUUUCCUUCCUCCGAAUGGAUACAAUCAGUCAUAGUCAUCCUCCCAUUUACUUGCUUUGCCCGCUCAUGCUACUAAAAGCAACCUUUCGGCUUCUUACCCUUGCUCCAUUUGGCAUUACUCUUAUUAGGAAUAUCAAGAGCUUUGCUCUAAGAGUUUAUGUUUUAAAUGCAAAUAAUCCUUUUCAUCCCUUCACGAGUGUCCUAGAAAAUCCCUUCAAGCCUUUAUAGUAGCUAAAGAUAAACCCCCUUACCUAAGUUCAAUUUUGAGACACUUGAAAUCGACAUCUAGCCCUUCUCUCUAAUGAAUAUUGAUGAAGAUCCAUUUUCUAAUAUUGACCUACCACUUUUUUCUUUGGGUGGUAUUACCCAAUCAAGAGCUAUAAAAUUUUGAGGUAUUUUUUAUUUCUAAUUGUAUCGUGAUUAUGAUUGAUAGUGUUGCUUCUCACCAUUUAUAUCCUACCAAUUUAUCUCCCAACUCAAUUUUCCAGUCCAUUCUACUGUUUCACUUUCUAUCAAGCUUUACAAUCAUCGAGUAACUUCCACCGACAUUUGUCACAAUAUCAAAUUGGUGGCUUAGAAAUUAACCCUUAUAACAGACUGUUGUGUGUUUUUCCUCAGUGAGGUAGAUUUGAUUCUGGUUAUAGCUUGGCUUGAAAUGAUAAGUGAUGUUUAAAUUAAUUGCAGAGUAUGACGAUGCCAUUUUUAAUGUUGCAUUACCUAAAAUGGAGCUUUUUAUUAUGUUACACAUCGAUGUCAGCUCCGACCAUUCAAAAGACAGGAGGUGUUGAUUGCGUUGCUCUCUUUAUGUCAAUAUUACAACGACAUCAAAUUCUACCUCAAAAACCAUUGCUCGCCUUAAUUUUGGCAUCUUCUCUUCUAGAAUUUCAAGAUGUACUCUCGAAUCCUAAAAUAUUACCACCUUAUUAUCAUUUUGAUUAUUGCAUUCCCUUACAACCAGAAACAAGACCUAUCCAUGUCAAACCUUAUAGAUAUGAACGUAUCUAAAAGGAUUGAAUUGUGAAGCAAGUAGAUAAAAUGGUUUUUGCUGGAAUAUUACAACCAAGCUGCAGUCCAUUUUCUGGUCUAAUUGUGCUCAUUUGUAAAAAAGAUGGCGGCUGGAGAUUUUGGUCUAUUGUACAUAAAAGGGAAAAACAAUAGAUUUAAUCACGAGGAUACCCAAAACUUUUAAUUUUAAUGACGAAACUCCAACUUUUAAAUUUAUUGUAAUUAUAGCCAAUCUCUAAAAUAAUUUAUUUAAAACUUUAAGUUUAAUCAUUAUUAUAGUUAAAACUUUUAAUGUUAU
rnacentral:lncRNA from 1 species